rnacentral:rRNA from 1 species
AUGAUUGUGAAUGGGAAAUAUAGAAAAAGGAAGAUUAUCCAACUUGAACAGGACGAGGGUACAAUAGUAGGGCAUGAGAACGUAAAGUUGUACAUUUCCAACUUUUAUAAAAAGCUGUUUGGGGCACCAGUAGUGAAUUUUGUUUCACGCAACGAGGAUAUGGUUGAGGAUGUACCGCAGCUAGGAGAGGAUGAGAACGAGUUACUCACUACUCCUUUCACGGAAAAGGAGGUUUUCGAGGCGAUUUCGCAGAUGAAUAAUAAUAAGCCACCUGGCCCGGAUGACUUUUUAGUAGAAUUUUAUAAGAGAUGUUGGGAUAUAAUUAAGCUGGUCUGA